AUUGAACGCUGGCGGCAAGCCUAACACAUGCAAGUCGAACGAGUGGCGGACGGGUGAGUAAUGUCUGGGAAACUGCCUGAUGGAGGGGGAUAACUACUGGAAACGGUAGCUAAUACCGCAUACCAUCGGAUGUGCCCAGAGGGGAUUAGCUCGUAGGUGGGGUAACGGCUCACCUAGGCGACGAUCCCUAGCUGGUCUGAGAGGAUGAUGAGCCACAGUGGAACUGAGACACGGUCCAGACUCCUACGGGAGGCAGCAGGGGGGAAUAUUGCACAAUGGGCGAAAGCCUGAUGCAGCCAUGCCGCGUGGAGGAAGAAGGCCUUCGGGUUGUAAAGUACUUUCAGCGGGGAGGCGUUACCCGCAGAAGAAGCACCGGCUAACUCCGUGCCAGCAGCCGCGGUAAUAC
rnacentral:rRNA from 1 species